CCAAAUCAAAUCCCUUAGUCCUCUGCUAUGUCGCUGUCAACAAUCCUCUGUUGCAUCAUCAUCGACAGUCCUCUACUGCAUCGCCGUCGAUAGUCCUCUGUUGCAUCGCCAUGUAAGUUUUUAUUUUUUUCAUUUUGUUUGUUUGUUAAAUUAUUUUCUCAUCUUUGAAAUCCUAACCCUUUUCUCUUCUGUAUAAACACCACACUAGAAACAUCUUUUCUGUAUAAACGACCUACCGUUCUCUUCACUUUCUCUAAAAAUUUCUCCCGAUCUGUGAAAAUAAUCUGGUAAUUUUUCAUUUCAUUCUAUAUUUUUUUAUAUUUUUUUAAAUUUGGUUAAUGUUAUUGGGUUGUUGAAUUUUACGAGUUGGGACUGCAAUUUUUUAAGGUUUUAUUGAGUUAUUUUUUGAAGUAUAAUUGAUUAUGAGAAGCUCAAAUCUCGUUUUUCUUUGAAGUAUUUUUUGAAGUAUAUCCCGACCUACUUUGUUCAUGCAUUGGUAUAUGACUGUUAGAUAUUGAGGAACGAAUUGGUAUAUGAUUAAUUUGUAGUAAUCUGUUUAUGCAUGGUUUCUGUUUUUCCUUUUUUAGAAGAACACAAUAUGAUUGGGGUAGCAGAUAAAUCUAUUUGAUUAAUUUUUAGUAUUAGUCUUGUACCAUAUUUGUAGGUUUAGUUCAUUUUUCAAAUUCCAAAUUUGAUCAUUUUUAGUUGGGUGCGUAGAAAAUUGGGGUAAUAGGAACAUAAGUGCUUAAUUAACUAAAUUAUUUAAUAGCACUGUUUCUUUUUAAGAAAAUAAACAUUUGUUUUGGAAGAAUUUGUGUGAAAGGUAAACGAUUUCAUAUAUAUAUAUUAACAAAAUACAAAUAUAGAAUAUAUUAAUCUACCUUAAAUAUAUAUUUUUUGUUCUGGAAGAAUUUAUAUGAAAGGUAAACGAUUUCCUAUAUGAGUUGAAGUCUAAAGACUAAUUGACAUGCCCUACAACUUGAAUUUUGUUGAGGGAUGGACGAAAAUCAUUCUAACAUAUAACCAUUCCAAUUUUUGUGCUUGAUAUACUAGUUAAUGAUAUAUUGACUUAUAAAAAUUCAUUUUUUUUGGAAACAAAAUAAUAAAAUUUUAUUUAAACAUGAGAGUUUCGAUAUAGAUAUGUGUAAAUAGUAAUCUUCUAAUUAUAUGAUAUAACACAUAAUAACCCAAUCUAGCAACAUGUGUUAUUGUUGUAGAUAUCUUCUACCCAAAUGCUUCCAAGUUUAAAAUUUAUCUUAUAAUUUGAGUUUUUAUCACACCAGUUUUAAGAGGUGGUACUAAUGAAGGUUUAGUAAUUUCGAUGUUUAGGAAACUUUUUAACAUUUGAGGAAGCUUCAUGAUUUUUUGUUUUCUAUUUUCAAGCUGGUUUAGGUAAAUAUUUGCUAGCACUUGGUGUGUGUAUCUACUGUACUGGGUUUAUGAAUGUUAAUUUGUUUUCUUGCAGGGUUUUGAUUUGAGGAAAAAUUAAAGUUUGGGUUUAGAGAUACGUAGUUAUCAACAUUAGUUGGCAGAUAACAUUGUCUCAGUGUAGGUCAUAGGUGCUCCCUUCUCCGACCACCAAACAUAAUCUUCUUUGCCAAGGUGCACUAUCCUUUUGAACUUCUCGACCCAACUUUUCCGCAUUUCCCAUAUUGUAACAAGUUUCAACUUGCUAUGUCCACCUCUAUCUGUCACCCUCAUCAUAGUUUAGUUACAGCUUGAUAUUGUAAAAACAUAAGCAUAAUGCUUGGUGAUAUGAAUACAUUAGAGUUCAUCUUUUAAUAGUUCGUGUCCACAGCUUUAACCUCUAGGAAUUCAUUAUGUACUUAUGAUUGUUGCAUAAAUGGAAGGCAAAA
rnacentral:lncRNA from 1 species